GUGAAAUUUUUAAUAAGAUACAAGUUCCCUGCUAAUUUAUUGGGGGCUAGAAAGUUUAGGUAAAAAACCAGGAUUAGAUACCCUGUUAUUCUAAAAAAUAGUAAAAGAUAGGGUAGUAAAAGUUGUUCUUCAAACCCAAAGAUUUUGGCGGCACCCCACCCUAAUAGAGGAGCUUGUCCUGUAAUUGAUAAUCCUCACUUUAUCUUACCUUUCCUUGUCUAGCUUGUAUACCGCCGUUGCCAGAUUACUUUAAAAGAGUGUUUUCGAGAAAAAUAUUUUUUUUACUUCAGGUCAAGGUGCAGUUUAUGGGAGGGUAGUUAUGAGCUACAAUUUCUACUAGAAAAUACGAAUUCUAGGUUAAAACCUGGUUGAAGGUGGAUUUGUUAGUAAAUUUAUUUGAGUAUAGUAAAUUGAAUGUGGCAAUGGGGUGUGUACAUAUCGCCCGUCACUCUCUUCUUAAGAGGAGAUAA
rnacentral:rRNA from 1 species